rnacentral:hammerhead_ribozyme from 1 species
GCAUUGCUGACGAGUCCCAAACAGGACGAAACAGCUGCCCAGUGC